rnacentral:lncRNA from 1 species
GGGAGUAUAAAAUUACUGCACUGAGAGAGAGAGCUCCACAGAGCCGACAGUCUCUUAACACACUAACCCCACACGCUAACACACUCGUGCAGCUAUUGCCAUGGUGCUGUGGGUCUUUUUGCUCUGUCUGCAGGGAUGUCUGCUCACACAUGCUCUGGACUGCACGGGCAGGAGUGUGGACUGUGUCAACACACAGGUUACAGAGGUCAAGGUUAAAGAUGAGCCCUUAUCUUCUCUGAUGAGGGCUCGAAGACAAGCUCAACUCACUCAGCGGCCUGGAUCUUAUUCAGUCAAAGGAUCUCCUAACACACUCAUCCAGCCUGACAGGUCGAGGCGACAUUUGACUACUAGUAAAAAAAAGCCCCACAGAUCUCGCAUCGGCUCUUACUCACUUCUUUCCCAUAACCACGCAACCAACCCACUGCAGGUCGUAAGUGUUCAUAGACACUUUGAGGGUGUGUCCCAUCCCAAAGUGGCUGCAUUAAAGUCUGUGAAGAAGAGAUCCAGAAGAAGUGCACCCAAGAGAAAGAAGAACGCAAGGAAUAACGCAUGCUCAUGAGAGGCUCUUUGAAGCACUUAAGCUGUACUUCAUGUUAACGUUCUAGCUCAUUUACUUAAAGAGUGCCAUGAGAUCACACAGACUCUGUGCAGAUAAUGUGAUCACAAUUAAUGACAAUAAUUGGACAGUCCCACAUUUAAUUAUCUAUUUAAUUAUCUAACAUAAACAAAAAUGACUUAAAUAUAAACAUAUAUAUAUAGCAUACUAAGCUUUGAAAUAUGCA